AUCUAUCCGUCGGGGUGCCCUAGGGGGCUGAGAGGUGCGUGCACCGACCCGUCGAACCUGAUCCGGGCAAUACCGGCGUAGGGAACGGGUAUCUUUGUGCA
rnacentral:ncRNA from 21 species